rnacentral:lncRNA from 1 species
UUGGCACCAAAUCCCAAACGUCAUUGCGCUCGAAUUGGUUAAGCUCCUCUUGCAUUGCCAAGAUCCAAAAUUCAUCCCCAAUUGCUUCUGAGAUGGUAUUGGGUUCAAUUUGAGAAACAAAAGCAGUAUGUUCUAAGGUAUUUUUGAGAGUGUUUCGGGUACUUACCUUGUCUCCAAUGUUGCCAAUUACCUGUUCAAGAGGGUGAUCUUUGAU